GUGGCCUUUUAUUAAACCAUUCUCUUUGAAUGUUUAGUAAAUUUUUGGACUUUAAGAAAAAAGGUUAACAUUAAUUGAGCAGAGCUUCACUCCAGGGAUAUAAAGAGGCGGGGCUGCAAUCUGAUAAGGUGUGACUUGGAUAUAAAGAGACGGAGCUGCACUCUGGUAAGGUGUGAUUUGGAUAUAAAGAGGCGGAGCUGCACUCUGGUAAGGUGUGAUUUGGAUAUAAAGAGGCGGAGCUGCACUCUGGUAAGGUGUGAUUUGGAUAUAAAGAGGCG